UAAUUACCUUGCAGGGUAUAGGACCAAAACCGAUGAUUCCAAUACACCCUACAUAGCUGGGUAUACAACAACUAAUGCCCAUGUGGCAAAUAAUCAACCUAAUUACAUUGCAGGGUAUAGGACUAGCACCACCCAAGAAUCCAAUACACCUUCUUACAUUGCAGGGUAUAGGACUAGCACCACCCAAGAAUCCAAUACACCUUCUUACAUUGCAGGGUAUAGGACUAGCACCACCCAAGAAUCCAAUACACCUUACAUUGCAGGGUAUAGGACUAGCACCACCCAAGAAUCCAAUACACCUUACAUUGCAGGGUAUAGGACUAGCACCACCCAAGAAUCCAAUACACCUUACAUUGCAGGGUAUAGGACUAGAACCACCCAUGAUCCUAAUGCACCUUACAUAGCUGGGUACACAACAACUAGUGCCAAGAAAGCUCCAAAAGGGUCAUCUCAUGAUGAUACCACUGGACCUUACAUAACCCAAUAUGGUGGACCCGGUCCCAAAAAUGACCCAAAAGAAUCUUCCAACUUGGACCAUACAGAGGCUUUCAAGACAGGAUUUUUCGCCUUGGAUGAUCUAUAUGUUGGGAAUGUGAUGACCCUCCAAUUUCCAAUUCAAG
rnacentral:lncRNA from 1 species